GGGGCUCACAAGUUUUGUACAACUCCUUUUUGGAGUGUCUCAGGUCCAAAGUUUUUUGAAAACCACAGGGAUACAUGAUAGUGGCAACAAAUGGAGUUGGGUUGGAUAUAGUCAUGGUAGGUUAAAGUACAGUGUAUUUCGUACCAUCUUCUCUUUUGACUGGAAUUGUGUUGGUCAUUGUUAGUAAAUGCAGCAUUUAUUCAAAAUAGUGUCCUUUUUUGUUGUUGAGCAUAUGCCCUCCAGAAUGUCUGUGCAUGGCCCUGGAGCAGUCUACUGGGGCCCUGGAGUACUGGAGGUGUGGGCUGGAGCAGUGUACUGGGGCCCUGGAGUACUGGAGGUGUGGGCUGGAGCAGUGUACUGGGGCCCUGGAGUACUGGAGGUAUGGGCUGGAGCAGUCUACUGGGGCCCUGGAGUACUGGAGGUAUGGGCUGGAGCAGUCUACUGGGGCCCUGGAGUACUGGAGGUGUGGGCUGGAGCAGUCUACUGGGGCCCUGGAGUACUGGAGGUGUGGGCUGGAGCAGUGUACUGGGGCCCUGGAGUACUGGAGGUGUGGGCUGGAGCAGUGUACUGGGGCCCUGGAGUACUGGAGGUGUGGGCUGGAGCAGUGUACUGGGGCCUGGAGUACUGGAGGUGCGUAACAAAUGCCUUGGCGAGUCAGAAUGCCUGGAACAAAUGAAACAACAGGGAAUUCCGGACGUGAUAUGAAGAAAUGGUGUGAGGACAAGACCCCCAAGCCUCUCCCUCUACUGAAAGCUGAGUGGGACAGAGAGGGUGUGAAGAAAGACGCCCCCCUCUACCCCUUAGUCCUGAAGAGAGACGAAUUAACCAGUUGAAAGAGAGUGACUCACACUCUCCUCUCUGCUCAUCCAUCCCAUCCGUCAUUCCAUCUGGUUUGUAUUUCUUUGGAUGUUUCUCCACCUCCAGCCUCUGGGUAGUACCAGUGCCAAGGCCCAGAUGGCUGCCGACCCAUCCCCACCACGGAGAGCGUACACUGGGUUGGAAAACGCCUGGGCUUGCCUCUUGGCUGGGGUAUGGAUGGUGGGGUAUGGUUGGGAAGGGAAGGGCGGUCUUGGCUGGUGAUGGGACUCCGGCACUGACGCAACAUCCAGCGAUUAUCCAUCGCAUUCAUUGGUAGUUGAUACCCUCCCUGGGUGUUGCGGCGUGGACAGUGAGAGAGGACGCCACAGACUGGCCAGACGUCGCCUAGAUCAGUAACUGAGACUGGCAUCUCAUGGAACUGGCGCGGGCAUCAGUACCAGACUGGUAAACUGGCAUGAGAAUCUAUUUUAGCAUCUAAAUAGCAUGUGUAAAUGUAAUGGUUUUCAGCUCCAGAAGUGCUGUAUUGUAGUCUGUUUUUAACAGACAAGAGCCAUAUGAUAUCAGGCCGACCUACUUUUAAUGACACACUUGUUUUUGAAGCUCAAAGGGAGUACACACUGGUGAAGGAAGUAUGGCUUAUGUUUGUUUACGUCCAAAUGCUUUGGAGAAAGGUGAAGUGGUCACAUCCUAUGGCAGAUGAUCCUUUCUUUAAGGGAGAGAAGAGAGAGAGAGAGAGAGAGAGAGAGAGAGAGAGAGAGAGAGAGAGACAGAGACAGAGAGAGAGAGAGACAGAGAGACAGAGAGACAGAGAGAGAGAGAGAGAG